AAAGUGUACUUACAUAAGUCCUGCUGAAAUAAAAUCUUAUGUUAUCAUUUUUUAUUUUGCCUUUAUGAGGCUAAAAUCAUGACAGACUGACAUGAACAAUU